CAGCCUCGGUAAUACGUAGGUUGCGAGCGUUGUCCGGAAUUACUGGGCGUAAAGAGCUCGUAGGUGGUUUCUCGCGUUGUUCGUGAAAUGCCACAGCUUAACUGUGGGCGUGCGGGCGAUACGGGCAGACUGGAGUACUGCAGGGGAGACUGGGAUUCCUGGUGUAGCGGUGGAAUGCGCAGAUAUCAGGAGGAACACCGGUGGCGAAGGCGGGUCUCUGGCCAGUAACUGACGCUGAGGAGCGAAAGCGUGGGGAGCGAACAGGAUUAGAUACCCUGGUAGUCCACGCCGUAAACGGUGGGUACUAGGUGUGGGUUUCCUUCCUUGGGAUCCGUGCCGUAGCUAACGCAUUAA
rnacentral:rRNA from 1 species